rnacentral:lncRNA from 1 species
AAUUCUUUUAAUGAGAACAGUGAUGACGACAGUUAAUGACAGUGUAGUGCUUACUGAGUGCACCUGUCUUGGCUUGUUAGGAGGAUGAACUAAUUUGAGCCCCGCAACUACCCUCUGGUGAGGGACUACCAUUACCCCCAUUUUAAAAAUGAGCAGAGGCCCAGAGAAUUGGACAGAGUUGUCCCAAGUUAUACUACUAAUAAAGAGCAUAUCCAGGAUUAAACCCCAGGCUCUCGAGCCCCAGUGUCUGAGCUUUUAACCAAUAUACCCUACUGUUUCUCGUCAUUACGUACAUCCAUCCCAUCAUGCAUGCAUGCACCCAUCUACCCAAUCAAGCAUGCAAGCAUUCAUUCAAGCAGUGCUUAUUUGAACUCCUACUGUUCCAGGCACUGAGGAGUUAGCAGUGAGUGCACAGCCAACCCCAUGGAGCUCCACCCACCUGUCCAUGACCCCGGUAGCCUCGUACUGUGCAAAGCUGUUUCAGAGCUUACUAAAAACUAUCCUCCAGAGAAGCCCAACUUCAAAUUUAGCUGCUCAAGACCACAGACCACUCUACUAUUGGGAAACCACGAACCAGCCUCCUUUCAAAGGCCAUUGUGUCACCUGCUUCACAAAGGGGGAGUGAUGAACCAACCAUCCAGUAUCAAUUUCAGGGCAGAAUGAUGCAGCUACAGAUCCAGAUCUCCAGGAUCAGCGCAUUCUCCUGCUACUGAACCUCCAACACACUAUGGGAGGUCCGGAGCAUCAUCUGCUGCGGCCCAAAGAGCAGAGACAAAGCAGGAAGUACUGGGUGGCUGCUGAAAUCAGGGUAUUAGGAUGAUUAAUAAUAAUACCCCAAACCUGGAUAGCAUGGUGCCACUUCCUGGCUGUGCAAAUACUCACAGCCUGUUUCCUCCUCCCUAAAAACGGGAAUAACCCGCGUUGUUGUCCUGGGAGGCGGCAGGACAGGGAUAGUGCCUCCCCUUUUACGGGUGAGGAAACAGGCACGGAGAGGUGGCAGGACGUGCAAUGAGGCCACAGCUCUAGCAUGGGUGUGAAAAGCCUGGGUGGGCACCAGGCGGGCUGGGAUUCUGAACACACGCUCAUCCCCUGGCAGUCUGCCGAUGGCCACAAAUGAGGGGUGAUCUGCUGGCCCGGGGGCCCAAGAGGGGCCCCCGCAGCCUGCCCUGGGCACAGCUGCUGCCCUGGCAGACCCCCAAAGAGCCCCCUGAAGAAUCGCUGCACUCGCGA